rnacentral:lncRNA from 1 species
GGGUAAGAGCUCGGCCACGGCCUUGAGUCCACGAAGCAGCCGCGGAGCUUUGUGAAGGACAAGAUGGCGAUGGCGGGCCGUGCCGGCGGCCCCCNCUCUCUGUGAUGAGAACCUUUUCACAGACCUGUACUGAGCUCCGUGAGGAUAAGAAACUCUGAAGAGACGGGCCUUGCACAGCCGAAAUGCGACACAGUCGUAGCUCCGGCGGACAAAACGAUUGUGAAAAAGCCGGUGUUGAUUUAAUGUCCUCUUGUCUGCAGAGUUCAGGCGCACGUCUGAAGGCUAGAAUGGAAAAGAGCCGACCUGUUAGGGUAAGUGGGUGGUCCUCUUUUACCCCCUCUUCCUCCGUUGUCGAGUGUACGGGGGCCCUGUGGUAAGUGCUACGGGGAUGAUACUAAGGAUUGAACUCUCUCUUUCUGAUGGAGUAGUGGAGAAAGCCUAAGAGUUCUGAGUAGCACCAGCCCGCAGCGAAUGUUCGGGUGUUUCGCGCGGAGGUAAGAAGACCGACUGCAAAGUAUGAAACUAAGUGAGAGGUGCUCCCCUUUUUUUUUUCCUUCCAGAUGUGGUUCAGCUCAAAAGACCUUACGGGUUGGAGGAUGGGACAAGACCCAUCCCUGCAAAGUAAGCAUUCCAGUGAUGCUCCAGGUGGGUAUGCAGUGAUUUACCGCAGUUAAGGGUGGGCACUGUGUCUAGAUGGGGUUUGUUCUUGUUCAGAUUAUGCUGACCACUCUGUGAUGAACAUAAAAAAAGACAAGCAUAUGGCUGAUCUUAAAAGUGAUGUCAUCUUCCUGCUGAGAAGUGGACCAAGAGUAUUCAAGGACCUAUGAAUGGCUAUUUUUAGGUACAUAUAAUGCCUUUUCUGUUUCCAGCAUCUCCUCCCCAAGCCUGAGGAAUCCAGCUGCCUCCAAGGGUGAAGACAGGUAAUUUUUUGACCAGAUGAGGGGAUUGGAGUGUCCUCUCCUGUUUGGCCUACAACCAGGAGAGCAAAAUGAGCAGUUUUGCCUUUUUGCUUCUUGCAGCUUAUUCCUCUUAGAAUGACUUUCCUGUGGAGGGAAAGAGCAACCCAACAGUACAGUUAAUUCUUGAGAUGGUGUGCUCUCCCUCACCCAUAUGUCACUGUCAGAUGAUUUGAAUAGAUAUGCUGAUCCUCUGUGAGGUACAACAAUUAAUAGCAUGUUAGAGUUCUGAUGGCAGUUUCUAUUAAUGAAGAAACUUUGUUCUAGCCUAGUACUUUUUGAUAACCAUCUGGUCUCCUUUUGCAGGUCGUCCUGAUGGUGGUAAUAUGUUGAUUUACAUUAUGGUGAGUAGCUUCUCCUAAUACUGUUGUUUUGUUAGCGUAUAUGUGAACCCAUCAAAGGGUGAUUUUUUUUUUUCAUCGUGUGGUUAUUUGUCUUCUUGUGACCAAAGACUUGAUCAGCCCGUAUAACUUUCUAGUUCUUUUUCCUUGUAGUGAUAUUUCUUGAUCUAUUUCUCUAGGUGCCCACUGAUGUGCUCAGGGUCGAACUCAUGGAAAGAGUUAAGGAUGGUGAGUACUUGUAACCUUGCUGAUUACAGCUUGCCCCAGAGUAUAAUGCCAAUGAAGAGAGCAAGCAUCCUGUCUUACCCCUGCUCUAGCCCCAGAGCCAGUAAUGGUGAACCCACUGGGGCUAACUGGGUGAGAGGAUGAGAAUUUGUUCCAUAAGGAACUGUCUGAGGUACAGCGUAUCCCUGUCAAUAGUAUUUGCUUGGGUUUUCUUCACUUAAA